GGCCCAAUGGUCUAGAAGUAUGAUACACGCUUCGGGUUAAUACCGGUGAUCCGAUGGUCACGUGACUGUGUGUGGUCCCGGGUUCAAUUCCCGGUUGGGCCC